CACAACCACACUAUUCCAUAAAUUCAGUUCUUUGAUGUUUUUGAUUACUAAGAGGGCUUAGAGAGACUACUGGUGACUAUGUCUAAGUAGACAGAUGCAAACAUCCUCAUUAUCUCACUACAUAUGCCUCAAUGCUCAAUCACCUCUCUUAUAUUUGGAAAGAUGUUUGGAUUUUGCUGUCUUAGUAUACCGAUUAUUCACCAGCAAUGCUCAUAAAGUUGGAAAGAUCAAUUUUAAUCUUUAAUCUGCAGUUAGCAGUAAUGCAGACAAGAAAGAAGGAAGGAAGGAAAGAAGGAAGGAAGGAAGGAAAAUGAGAGAGAGGAAAGGAGAGAAGAAGAAAAAUAACAAAAAUGAAACAAAUAAAUUUCAAUAUUGAACCUAAACUGAAAACUCUGUCAGAGGCUUUUUCACUAUAUAUCAACACCAGGAAUUAAAAAUCUCUAAAUCCAGCUGGCCUUCCUUAUACUCUCUGGUCACUUCUCCUUCCCUUUAACUCUUGUGUAUUCUCCUUCUCCUUUUCCUCCUCCCCCCCUCCUUUUUCUCUUCCCUCUCCUCCUCCCCCUCCUUGUUUGUUGAUAGUAUCAGACUUUCAAAGUGGGUAGGUUAAUUGUUCUAUUUUCAGUUAGCUUAUUUAAAGAAAAUAAGUUAUUAGUUAGCAAUUUGCAUGAGCAAAUAUCCACCAGUGUAUCAAGAGGUGAAAUUUGACUUUUUCAUCUUACCUCUACCAUUUUUUCCCUACUGUACUUGUGGUGUCAAGAUGUAACAACUCAUGAAGUAGAAAGGAGCAGGAGAGGAGAAGUCUAUACACCAUGACAGUUCUUAGGCUGAAAAUAUGAGCUACUGUGAGCAGUGUCAAGUGAGAAUAAACUCAUGAGCAUUUUUCUUUUUAUAAAGCUUUUAAAAAGUCAAGAUACAUCUCACAUGAUUUGUAUAACCUUCUAUAGCUAAAAAAUGGUUGAGGAGAUAGUUUAAAGUUUCAAUAGACCUACUUCUGUAUUUCAAUGUAUACAUCCCUUGCUCUAUCAUUGACAAAAUUUAUUAGCAUCUCCAGUAAUUGUCUGACCCGGAAAUAACUCAAAAUUAAAAUCUUUAUUCUACAAUAGAUAGCAUUACACACCGUCUCUUUUAACUUAAAAGAAUGACAAUUUCUCAUUUCUCCACUACACUUCAAGGUAAACCCAUAAACCCUUUUGUGCAUAGAAAUAUGAUAAUCCUUAAACAUAGAGAUAAUAGCUCACAUACCACAUUAUAUUAAAUGCUAUAAUAACACUACUAAUUGUAUUCCAAAUAUGAGUUAAGAUUGCAACUUUCACACACUUAUAACUCAUUGUCUACUUUUAGUCACAUUUGAAAAAAUAACUGAUGACCGAGGCUCAACUAAGGUAGACCAUCCUUCACUUCAAAACUCUGGCUUCCUGAAUGUUAGGCAAGCUCUCUACCCAUAGUACAAGUUCUUCACACUGGGAUAAUUGAAGACAGAAGGAACUGGGUAUCACUUUUCCCUUUCCACAAGCCUCUGCAUAUGCUGGCUCAAGCUAUCUCACCACAUUCUAGUCUGAUAAGUAACUGUUUACACAACAGCUAAUGUUACCUACAUCAAAUAUAUCCAGACAUCCAGACACCUAAGCAGGAGCCUCUAGGAGACUGUGCACUGGAUUUCACAAUGGAUCACUACCACCUAAUUUUAUCAGUUUUAAUUAAUUCAAAACAGGCAAUUAAGGUAAAUCAGACAAAGUCAUAAAUACUACAAGAGGUUAUAUUAUUAGGAUUUCUACUGGACAGUUCACACAGAAGUAACGGUGGGAGCAAUCCCCACAGGAAUUUAUUAAAGAUUAUUGCUUAGUCAUUGAUUCAUUAUAGGAAUGAAGAAACCAAGGCUAAACAAUAAAGAAAAAUAGCCAAAUCAUGUUUAAAGCAGGUAUCAAUUUUGCAGUUGCCAACUAGAAUCUAUUGGUAGUUGAUGGCUGCUCUGGAAUGGAGAGUCACUCUUCACUGGUAAGUCUGACUAUUGGUGGUGCCCAUGUCCCAACUCAUGGCCCCACACCCAUGCACCUGUGGACAGCACUAAUUGGACACAUGGUUACAAAAUAAAGAAGAAAGACAUGAAGGUAUUGGGAAGAAGGUAUGUUGGAGAAUAAGGGGUGUGGGGUAUAUGUGUGGUCAUGAUACAUUGUAUACAUGCAUAAAAUUUUCAAAGAAUUAAAAAAAAUUAAAAAUCAAAGAACAUUUUGUCUAAUUAUCUUAGCUAUUUCAUGAAUAUUCUGUGUAUGGAACUGGUUAAUUGCAUUUACUCAUCAUAUUUGUGUCCUGAUUGCAAGAAAGAGAAAUACAACAAUUUAAAUGAAAGUGUCCCCGUGGGGUCCUGUGUCUGAAUGCUGCUGCCAGCUGACAGUCUUGUUGAAAGUUGUGGAAUGAAAUCAACAAGCUGUGCCACAAGCUCCAGCCAGGGGAAUUCCAGCAGCCACGUUAGGACACCCCGGAACUGGAGCUAAAGCAGAUUCUUCUCCAGGUUGUGCCUUUUCUUUUUUCUUUUUCUUGGUUUGUUUUUGUUUUAGCUAGGGUAUUCUAUUGCUGUGAAGAGACACCAUGACCACAACAACCCUUAUAAGAAAAACAUUUAAUUGGGGUGGCUAGCUGACAGUUUCAGAGGUUCUGUCCAUUAUGAUCACGUUGAGGGGUACAUCAGUGUUCAGGUACAUGUGGUGCUUGGAUCUGAGAGUACUACGUCGUACAGGCAACGGCAGAUUCCAGGUGGCAACUGCAAAAUUACUACCUGCCCUAGAACAUGAUUUGGCUGUUUUUCUUUACUGUUUAGCCUUUGCUUCACACUGAGGGAAGCUUGCGUGAAAGAGACCUUCAAGGCCCGCCCCCACAGUGGCACACUUCCGCCAACAAGGCCACACCUCCUAACAGUGCCACUCCCUUUAGGGGGCCAUUUUCUUUCAAAACACUGCAGUUUGUUUUAAUUUGCACAUAUUUAUUUAAAAACUUUAUUGGCAAAAAUAGAAGGCAUUUUAAACAGAUUCAAUGCAGGGCAUUGUGACUGAUCCUGUUAGAUUAAAGAAGUUCCACUUUCAGCAUUUGUCUAACUGUGCAGAGGUGGGUAAUACUGCAUCUGCACAUGCUAUGUCCUUUACUGAGGACAGUCCUCAUCGACCAUGGAAAGCCUCCAAGGAGCAUCUUGAUGGGUAUUUGGUUACAACACUGACAAAAGGAACUAAUACAGAAAGAAUCUUGUGUUUGACUUCUGAGCAUGCUUGACUUCUGAAGUCAAAGUUACUGAGGUAGAUAUUUGACUAAAAAAUGUUCCAUUUAAAGAAACUUCCAAUACAAUAUCUCUGAGGUAGAACCCUUCCUGGAGGCCCAGACCAACAGCUGGUAACUUGGACAAGCAAGAAUGAGGGUCAUUGCAGAGCCUAAGAAGAGGAUGGCUGUCAGGUGAUUUAUAAACCCUUCAAAGAACAGUUUGCUAGCCUUGAGUAGCUAACACAUUUUUUUUUUUUUUUUACAUUUUAGGCAUGAGGUUCUUCAGAAAACACUACAUGAGAAAGCAUAUACAUCUGGAUUGUGUGUGUGUGUGUGUGUGUGUGUGUGUGUGUGUGUGUGUGUACAUAGUUUUAUAAUAAACAAAUGAAGAGUGACUACAAAAUAAACAGAUUUCCUCCUUGGAGUUCCA